GACGAACGCUGGCGGCGUGCUUAACACAUGCAAGUCGUACGGUAAGGCCCUUUCGGGGGUACACGAGUGGCGAACGGGUGAGUAACACGUGAGUAACCUGCCCACAACUUUGGGAUAACGCUAGGAAACUGGUGCUAAUACUGGAUAUGUGCUCCUGCUGCAUGGUGGGGGUUGGAAAGCUCCGGCGGUUGUGGAUGGACUCGCGGCCUAUCAGCUUGUUGGUGGGGUAGUGGCCUACCAAGGCGGCGACGGGUAGCCGGCCUGAGAGGGUGACCGGCCACAUUGGGACUGAGAUACGGCCCAGACUCCUACGGGAGGCAGCAGUGGGGAAUAUUGCACAAUGGGCGCAAGCCUGAUGCAGAAACGCCGCGGGCGGGAUGACGGCCUUCGGGUUGUAAACCGCUUUCAGCAGGGACGAAGCUUUUUGUGACGGUACCUGCAGAAGAAGCACCGGCUAACUACGUG
rnacentral:rRNA from 1 species